GGAAGUAAAAGUCGUAACAAAGUUUCCGUAGGUGAACCUGCGGAAGGAUCAUUAUUGUAUAACCGAGGUGCGAGGGCUGUCGCUGACCCGAAAGGUCGUGCACGCCCGAGUGCCCUCACACACAUCCAUCUCACCCCUAUGUGCACCACCGCGUGGGUCCCCCUUUGGCUUGUUCGGAGGGGGGCUUACGUUUUCACACAAACUUUGUAUGCAGUGUAGAAUGUACUUUUUGUUUUUGCGAUCACGCAAUCAAUACAACUUUCAACAACGGAUCUCUUGGCUCUC
rnacentral:misc_RNA from 1 species